rnacentral:rRNA from 1 species
ACAAGCAGCGGAGCGUGUGGUUUAAUUCGUUGCUACACGAAGAACCUUACCUGGGUUUGACAUAUAGGUUGUAGGGAACUGAAAAGGACGACCCUUCGGGGAGCCUAUACAGGUGUUGCAUGGCUGUCGUCAGCUCGUGUCGUGAGAUGUUCGGUUAAGUCCGCUAACGAGCGCAACCCUCGUCGUAUGUUAUAUGUGUCAUACGAGACUGCCGGUAAAAAGCCGGAGGAAGGUGAGGAUGAUGUCAAGUCAGCAUGACCUUUAUAUCCAGGGCUACACACACGCUACAAUGGUCUGUACAAUGGGUAGCCAAGCCGCGAGGCGGAGCCAAUCCUGAAAGCAGGCCUCAGUUCAGAUUGCAGUCUGCAACUCGACUGCAUGAAGCCGGAGUUGCUAGUAACCGCAGGUCAGCAAUACUGCGGUGAAUACGUUCCCGGGUCUU